AGGAUUUCAAACAUCUUCUGCACCCUCAAGUCCGUGGAGAACUGAAUGCGCAGCUGUGCCAACAGAGAGUGCAUGGAGCAUCAGAGGCAGAAUCCUGAGGCACAGAACACCUCAGUGAAGCCAGCAGCAGUUACAGCAGGAAAGAUGGGGGCUUGGGUACCUUCUCAUCACUGAUGGAAGAGGAAAAGGUGACUGAUGCAGGGAAGCAUGAGACAGCUGAGCCUCGGGAACAAGCGGCCCCAUGCCAGCAGCUGCAGCAGCACCAGCACCUUCCAGAACACCCUGGGAUGGAAAGCCAGCUCACCCCCCACACUACCUCCUCCUCACGGGGCCUUUGGGAGCCCGCCCCACUGGAAACCCACUCGUGGCUUGCACAGAGCUCAGGUUCAGCUCUGAAAUAAGCACAGACAUCAUAACGAAAGCUGUUUUCCCCAUUCACAUCAGCAGCUCUCACAGCAAGGACUCGGUCCCCACCAGCUCUGCAGGGCUCAUGGCUCUGCUCAGGCACACCAGCA